rnacentral:sRNA from 1 species
GUGAGAUAGCAGAAUUGACAGAGAACAUUGAAGAAUCUAGUCUAGUGUGUGAAGUUGAUUCUGUGAGAUGUUUCUUGAAAAUAACAGUGGUGGAUUGUGUAGAGAUGGAGAUUGUUGAGAGGUUCUGAGUUGUCAGAAUCUGAUUCUGACUGCAAUCAUCUAAGUCAUCAUCAUGAUGCUCUGAGAAUUGAUCAUACAAAUCAUUCUAUUCUAUAUUAGCUCUAAGAUCAAAAGAAGAAAAGAAAGAAAGAACUAAAUAUAAUUCUACAAAGUAAUGAUCAUUCAGAUUUACUGACAACUUCAAUGACAAUUCAAUCACCAUGAAUUCAAGGUCAUUGCAAUGGUGAUUAUGGAUAAGAUUGAGAAUGGCAGUGCGAAGGUUG